UCCCGGUCAGAGAUGUUGGGCGGCGCCAUCUUGGGGAAGGAGUUGAUCUUGCUGUCUCCUUCCGUGUGAAUAUGAAUAAUGUAUAGGCACAUAUUGUAUCAGAAUGGGGAUCUCGCAGUGAUGUGAGUUCUGUGCCUUGUGUUUGAUGUCUGCUCCAAUCUGGAAUAGAGCAAAGUAUUCCUGCAUCAAAAGAACAGAAACUGGAAUGGCAACAUCAGCCAAAGGCUGAAAAUGGAGGAUACCGAACCUGAUGAAGUGGAUAAACUGAAGGCGAAGUUUAUGUCAGCAUGGCACAAUAUGAAGUACAGCUGGGUUGUGAGAACCAAAACAAAUUUUAGCAGAGAUACUCCUGUCUUUUUGCUGGGAAAAUGCUAUCAUUUCAAGUCAGAGGGAAUGGUUGAAAGUGCGUCAGGCUGCAGAGAUGCAGCUACAAGCACGGAAAUGGUUUUGUGUAAUGUGAAUCAAUUCCGUAAAGAUUUCAUCACUAGAAUCUGGCUAACGUAUCGCCGUGAGUUCCCACAGUUAAAAGGUUGUACACUCACAACAGAUUGUGGCUGGGGCUGCACACUGAGAUCUGGUCAAAUGCUUUUGGCCCAAAGUCUUCUGCUCCAUUUCCUUGGACGAGAUUGGCUCUGGCCAGAUGCACUUCAAAUGGUUACCUUAGAAACUGAGCUAUUCAAAGCCAAGCAACCAACAAUGUCUGAUGACUUUGCAGGUUUUACCUUCCUGCCACCUUUAGAAAGUCCACUACAGCAUAUGAGUGAACAGCUGGGCUCAUCAAGUAAUGAAAAACAAACACUAAAGUUAAAUCCUGUUAGUACAGCAAACGAGGAUGAAAAGUUCCAUAGGAAAAUAAUUUCCUGGUUUGCAGACAUUCCAGCAGCUACCUUUGGAAUGCAUAAGUUGAUAGAAUUGGGAGAAAACUCUGGAAAGCGAGCUGGGGAUUGGUAUGGACCAGCUGUUGUUGCCCACAUUUUAAGGAGAGCAGUGGAAGAUGCAGUGGAGCCCGAGCUGCAAGGAAUAACAGUUUACGUUGCUCAGGACUGUACAGUUUAUAUUGCUGAUGUAAUAGAAAAACAUUCACAAGUUAUUGGAUAUGGAGUACCAAAAUCAUCAGACAGGACAGCUGUUGUUAUCCUAAUACCAGUGAGACUUGGAGGGGAGAAGGUCAACCUUGAGUACAAAGAAAUUGUAAAGGGGAUCUUGAGUCUUGAGUUCUGCGUUGGAAUUAUUGGUGGAAAGCCAAAACAAUCUUUCUACUUUGUGGGAUUUCAAGAUGAUAGUUUGAUCUACAUGGACCCUCAUUACUGCCAGUCAUUUGUGGAUGUCACACCGAAGGAUUUUCCACUUGAGUCAUAUCACUGUCCUUCUCCGAAAAAGAUGCCAUUUAGUAAGAUGGAUCCCAGCUGCACAAUAGGGUUUUAUUCACACAGUAAAGCUGAUUUUGACAAAAUAAUUGAUGAAGUAACAAAGGUUCUGAAUUCACCGUCUUCCAAGGAGAAGUAUCCAUUGUUUACUUUUUCAAGUGGACAUGCUAGAGAUUAUGAUAUUGAUAAACUUUGCAUGCCGAAAACUGAUACAGCUGCACAACUCUCAGAGGUUCCAAGGAGAAAAUCAGAGAAAUUGAGUAAUGAGGAGUUUGUCUUGCUGUAACAGGAAUUUCAUGGUUGGUGCCUGGCUUUCUUCAUCUGUAUUUGAGAGUCCAUUGAAUUGAUGGUAAACAGGGGAACAGAAGGAGAAUUCAUUGAGAGUUUCUUGGUUACAGAUUAAAAAUGGUUGUUUCAGCCAAAGCUUCUUUGCCCAAAGUGACAACAUCUCAUGAAUGAAUCAAAAUGAUGACUGCUGGACAGCUGUUACUUUAUUGGAGAGGGCUAAUCACAGCCAAACCUGAUCCUAUCCUCAACUUGAAUCUACACACAGCAGGAAUCACUAGAUGUGCUAUCUUUGAACACGGGCAGUGGGAGUCCAGAUAAGAAAGCCUUGAAGUUGCAGUUGAUGGGAGUUCCAUCUUCAGAUAUACAUCAAGCCAUUUCGGAAGUUUGCUUAAUCCAGUAAAAUAUAGAACUACUAACAGAGUUCUGGAAAAGCUUGGCAGGGCAUUAAAUAUCGAAAAGAAAGUGUCUUAAGUGGAACCCAAAUCACAAUUGCUCUGGAACUGUAUUUGUUUCAGGUAGUAGAGGAUCUGUGGAAUUCUUUACCGCAGAGAGAUAUCAAGGCAGUGUCACUAAGUAUAUUCACAGCCGAGUUGAUUGGAUGUUUGAUCAGUAAAUGACUCAAGGAUUCUCAGGAAAAAACAGGAAAGUGGAGUUGAGGAUUGUCAAAUCAGCCAUGUCACACUCAAUGGGGCAAAUAGCCUCUGCUGCUCCUCUGUCCUACGGUCUUAUAUUUGCCAGAAGGAAGAAAGGUGGAAUAAGGAAGUUCCUUGCCAUACAUUCUCAAUGUUUGGGUGAAGAUUUAGCCACGAAACGCCACGACCAGCUAUCCUGAGUAGCCACACACGCAGACGA